UAGGGAAUAUUGCGCAAUGGGGGAAACCCUGACGCAGCAACGCCGCGUGAGUGAGGAAGGUCUUCGGAUUGUAAAACUCUGUUCUUAGGGAAAAAUGUCAUUGUGGCCAAUACCCAUAAUGAGUGAUGGUACCUAAGUAGAAAGCACCGGCUAACUUCGUGCCAGCAGCCGCGGUAAUACGAAGGGUGCAAGCGUUGUUCGGAAUCAUUGGGCGUAAAGCGCGCGCAGGCGGAUCAGCAAGUCAGAUGUGAAAUCUCGGGGCUCAACCUCGAAACUGCGUCUGAAACUGCUAGUCUAGAAUGUCAGAGGGGGUAGGGGAAUUUCACGUGUAGGGGUAAAAUCCGUAGAGAUGUGAAGGAACACCGGAGGCGAAGGCGCCUACCUG
rnacentral:rRNA from 1 species